rnacentral:rRNA from 1 species
AUGAACGCUAGCGACAGGCUUAACACAUGCAAGUCGAGGGGCAGCGGGGGUAGCAAUACCCGCCGGCGACCGGCGCACGGGUGAGUAACGCGUAUGCAACUUGCCUAUCAGAGGGGGAUAACCCGGCGAAAGUCGGACUAAUACCGCAUGAAGCAGGGGCCCCGCAUGGGGAUAUUUGCUAAAGAUUCAUCGCUGAUAGAUAGGCAUGCGUUCCAUUAGGCAGUUGGCGGGGUAACGGCCCACCAAACCGACGAUGGAUAGGGGUUCUGAGAGGAAGGUCCCCCACAUUGGUACUGAGACACGGACCAAACUCCUACGGGAGGCAGCAGUGAGGAAUAUUGGUCAAUGGGCGUAAGCCUGAACCAGCCAAGUCGCGUGAGGGAUGAAGGUUCUAUGGAUCGUAAACCUCUUUUAUAAGGGAAUAAAGUGCGGGACGUGUCCCGUUUUGUAUGUACCUUAUGAAUAAGGAUCGGCUAACUCCGUGCCAGCAGCCGCGGUAAUACGGAGGAUCCGAGCGUUAUCCGGAUUUAUUGGGUUUAAAGGGUGCGUAGGCGGCCUUUUAAGUCAGCGGUGAAAGUCUGUGGCUCAACCAUAGAAUUGCCGUUGAAACUGGGAGGCUUGAGUAUGUUUGAGGCAGGCGGAAUGCGUGGUGUAGCGGUGAAAUGCUUAGAUAUCACGCAGAACCCCGAUUGCGAAGGCAGCCUGCCAAGCCAUGACUGACGCUGAUGCACGAAAGCGUGGGGAUCAAACAGGAUUAGAUACCCUGGUAGUCCACGCAGUAAACGAUGAUCACUAGCUGUUUGCGAUACACAGUAAGCGGCACAGCGAAAGCGUUAAGUGAUCCACCUGGGGAGUACGCCGGCAACGGUGAAACUCAAAGGAAUUGACGGGGGCCCGCACAAGCGGAGGAACAUGUGGUUUAAUUCGAUGAUACGCGAGGAACCUUACCCGGGUUUGAACGCAUUCGGACCGAGGUGGAAACACCUUUUCUAGCAAUAGCCGUUUGCGAGGUGCUGCAUGGUUGUCGUCAGCUCGUGCCGUGAGGUGUCGGCUUAAGUGCCAUAACGAGCGCAACCCUUGCCACUAGUUACUAACAGGUGAUGCUGAGGACUCUGGUGGGACUGCCAGCGUAAGCUGCGAGGAAGGCGGGGAUGACGUCAAAUCAGCACGGCCCUUACAUCCGGGGCGACACACGUGUUACAAUGGCGUGGACAAAGGGAAGCCACCUGGCGACAGGGAGCGAAUCCCCAAACCACGUCUCAGUUCGGAUCGGAGUCUGCAACCCGACUCCGUGAAGCUGGAUUCGCUAGUAAUCGCGCAUCAGCCAUGGCGCGGUGAAUACGUUCCCGGGCCUUGUACACACCGCCCGUCAAGCCAUGGGAGCCGGGGGUACCUGAAGUCCGUAACCGCGAGGAUCGGCCUAGGGUAAAACUGGUGACUGGGGCU